rnacentral:rRNA from 1 species
CCUACGGGUGGCAGCAGCGGGGAAUAUUGCACAAUGGGCGCAAGCCUGAUGCAGCCAUGCCGCGUGUGUGAAGAAGGCCUUCGGGUUGUAAAGCACUUUCAGCGGGGAGGAAGGCGUUAAGGUUAAUAACCUUGUCGAUUGACGUUACCCGCAGAAGAAGCACCGGCUAACUCCGUGCCAGCAGCUGCGGUAAUACGGAGGGUGCAAGCGUUAAUCGGAAUUACUGGGCGUAAAGCGCACGCAGGCGGUCUGUCAAGUCGGAUGUGAAAUCCCCGGGCUCAACCUGGGGACUGCAUUCGAAACUGGCAGGCUAGAGUCUUGUAGAGGGGGGUAGAAUUCCAGGUGUAGCGGUGAAAUGCGUAGAGAUCUGGAGGAAUACCGGUGGCGAAGGCGGCCCCCUGGACAAAGACUGACGCUCAGGUGCGAAAGCGUGGGGAGCAAACAGGAUUAGAUACCCGGGUAGUC